rnacentral:rRNA from 1 species
UACGUAGGGGGCUAGCGUUGUCCGGAAUCAUUGGGCGUAAAGAGCGUGUAGGCGGUCCGGUAAGUCCGCUGUGAAAGUCGGGGGCUCAACCCUCGAAUGCCGGUGGAUACUGUCGGGCUAGAGUACGGAAGAGGCGAGUGGAAUUCCUGGUGUAGCGGUGAAAUGCGCAGAUAUCAGGAGGAACACCUGUGGCGAAGGCGGCCCCCUGGUCGGAUACUGACGCUGAGACGCGAAAGCGUGGGGAGCAAACAGG